AUGAUGAAAUUGAUUUUUCUUCCAAAAUUCAGUUCCAGAGUACAGUGAUUUGGUUUGAAACUCACAAGGUAAGUUAAUUUGAAUUAAAUAUGAUUUAAGACUAUAAAAAGGUUUGCUUUCAGAAUCAGCUGGCCAGUAAAGACAGCAUUGAUUUUAUUUAUAUUGUUUAUUCUCUACAAACUCAUUAUGCCUUUCAAGAUUUUUCCAUAUCAUUUCCUUCUUGAUGAAGUAUAACUGUCUAGCAGCAUCCAGGCCACAUGAUGACCUGGUAAAUCUCAUGGGGGUAGAAGCUCAAGGUGGAUUUAUUUGUAUAUUACGUAAGAAAUCUCAUUGAGCCAGUGGUGAUACAUCUCUAAUAUUAAGCAUGAUCUCAUGUUUGAAGAUUUGUGGGUAGAGAUCACAAAAUCAAAUAACUUCAGGAACCAAACAGUAUGGGUUGAACUUUGAGAUUAUAAGGAAGAAUAGGAAGUGUAUGUUAAUGUUUUGAGCCCAAGAAUGCAUGUCUUGUUUAAAGAUUUUUAAAGCACUGUUCUAGGCUUACAAAGCCUAGAUCUAGAGACAAGAAUAUAGGCUGACCACUAUUUUAAAAUCUCUCACUAAAAAGUCCAUUUACAAUGAGAAGAGGACUUAGAAAAAACAAAAAAAUGAUCUCCUAACCCUUCAAUUCCAGACUCUUUCUUCAGAAUGAAAUUUCUUAUCCUGGCUAGCCUUUUGAUCACUGCCACUGCUCUGCCCAUCCCUCUUGAACAACCUGGAGGAAGUUCCAGUAGUCAGAGAUUUAACGUUUACCCACCGCAAGAACCAGCAUUUUUUCCCCAGAUCCCGUUUCCCCUACCUCCGCAAUUGCCCCUGGUAAGCACAGGCUUGGGGGAUCUCA